UGUAGUCUCGGCAUCGCAUCAUGUCACACAGAGAGAGGAAAAGAAACAAAAGCAGAAUAAAGGGACUCGACCCGAAACGUCCCCAUCCCUUCUCUCCAGAGAUGUUGCCUGCCCCGCUAAGUUACUCCAGCAUUUUGUGUCUACCUUCGAUUUAAAAGACGCUGGAUAUGUCUUCACAUUAAGAUUGCCAACGCCGUACUGUGGAGACAGACUUAGUAGUUUCUCAUCUGUUGAAUUGAUGAUUGGACUUCAAUUCCUGGUGAAUACAGCGUGUGUAGUAUGAGAGUGAAUGUGUCCAAACUGGAUUCGGAAAGGCUCAUUUUUAUGAGGUUAUCCAGGUAUGAAACAAUAAAGGCUAUCUAAUGUCGAACUAGAUUUUGUGUUACUUUAAGGGCCUGUUGCACUUAGGCGAUUUUUUCAGCGCCUGUCACAGUUGUAGCAGGUCGCCGAAAAAGCGGCGACUGGACUCCCCGUAUGACAAUGUCUAUGAAAAGCUACCACUUAGCCGACGUCAAGCUACGGCAAGUUACCGACAAUCGUCGACCCAUUGGGACGUCCACCUACGACCACACCUACGACAAUCAACGACACACAGGCGACAACUUACAACAACCGCAGUCAACCUACGUCCACCCGCGACAAGCUACGACAAGCAACGACCCUGUCAUCGACAACUGAAGACAAUUCAGUUGCCGGCACCUGUCGCCAGUUGACGUAGGUAGUCUCCAAUGGAAUUCACCGAAGUCAGCACCCGACGACAACCAACAUCACCUGGCGACAACCUGCCUCAUCCUGGCGACAACCUACGACAGCACCUACAACAGGAGAAGACAAGUACGUCAAGACCACAGUCGCCAAAAAGUUUUGAACAUUUCAAAAUCCAGCAGCGACCAGACUGGUUAUGACUCUUUAAGCGAGGAGACUAUUCAUGACCAUAGAUGUAUAGAGGUGUCACCCCGUGACCAUGUGGUGACAGCUUAGUCACCGAAAAAAUCGCCUAAAUGGGACUGGGGCUUUAGAUUAUCCAUUUUCAGGAUUAAAACAUUUCAAACUUCUCUCAUGAGAAAUUGUAUUGUGCUCGAUCAGGAUGGUCGCUUGCACUCACCGGCCUGUGCUAUUCACGCAGUUACCAUUAAUUAUUUUACCUUCAACACCCACACCAACCCCCUCCCAAUUCAAUCAAUUUCAAGAACUUUCUGCUGCGGCCGCCUGUAAAGCAGAGUGGUCAAAGGCCUCUAACCUAUUGUUCAAUGUCAGAUGAGUAAAAUCAGUUCUAAAGGAUUUAAAAAUAGGUACUCAAAAAACCCAAUUACGUGGUAUGAAUAAAUUAAAAAAAUAUUAAGCCAAGUCACACUGAGAAUCACCAACCAACUACAUUGCAUGCAUCAAUAUGUUCCAGACUCCUGCACAAAUGCGUUGCAAUACAGAAGUCAAGACGGAUAUCCUGUCAAAUCCAGAUCAAACCUCUUGCUCUGAUCCAGACUCAUCAUUAAAUUCAUGGUGUUAUAUAUUGUCCAAGGUUGGACUGAAAGGAACACUUAGUAUCUGGUGUCUCAGCUUUAUGGCAGCUUUUGCUGAUGUAACAAUAGCCCUGAAGCCUAUGACAGCUUGUACUAACUAUCAAAUGUCUGUCCAAUGCUUGUAAUUGCUUUUCAUAAUCAGAAAUGCUUCAAAUUAAUUGAAAUUGACAAAUUAUUUUUUAAAUUAAAACUAUGUGUUUAAAUACAUAAUAAACUACUGGUAAUUCGUAACAUAGAAUGAAAUAAUGAAAAAUGAAUGAAAAUAAAUGUAGUUGACACAAUGGUAUCGCAGGUAUAUGGGACUGGGGGAGAAUACGUGUUCGGCACGGACUAGAAGGGUCGAGAUGGCCUGUUUCCAUGCUGUAAUUGUUAUAUGGUUAUAUGGUGUAGCCAACGAAGCGGCCACCUCACAGCUCCAGCGAUCCGCAUUCAAUGCUAACAUUUAGGGCCGUCUGGUGAGAAUUUGAUAGGUUCUCCCUGUGACCGCAUGGGUUUCCUCAGGAUGCUCUGGUUUCCCUCCACAUCACAAACAUGUGCAAAUGGUAGGUUAAUUGGCCCUAGUUGUAGGUGAAUGUAUUUGAACGUGGUGUGGUUCACUGACCUUUAUUGUAACACUAUGUUCAUCCAAGUUAUUUUAACAUAGACUUUAAUGGCACCGAAGGAGCCCUAUAACACACUAUGUCUGCACCAACUAUCAACCCCCCACCUACACUAAUCUUAUGUUUAUUCUUCCCUCAUUCCCACUCAUUCUAUUAUACAUGAGGGGCAAUUUACUGUGGUCAAUUAAACUAGCAACCCACACACUGAAGAAGAAAAGCUGGAGGGACCAGUGUAAACCCACACAUGGGUUGUUGUGCCGCCCAAACUCAUUUUUAUGUAAUUUUUUGCUCUGAACUAAUUAACAAGAAUUUAUUGUUUUCAAACAAAUUAAUUCUGUUUUAACUUAAAAAAAUUAAUUUAAUUUAAGUCAAUUUCAACUCUUUUGAAUCAUCUCUGACUAUCAAAGACAUUUUAAAGCACAAGCAGAUAUUUAAUAGUACAAGCUGAUAAAGAAUGUUGGGGCAAGGUCUGAAUAUCUUGCACCAUGUCAAAGUGUAGAAACAAGGAACUGCAAAUGCUGGUUUACACAAAAGGACACAGUGCUGGAGUAACUCAAAGGGCCAGGCAGCUUCUCUGGAGAACAUGAACAGUCGACAUUUCAAUUUGGGGCCCUUUUUCAGACUGUUUGUAGGGGUGGGGGGAGGGAGCCAUGUCACCUCGUGACCAUACAGUAUUUAGCCCUUUAAAACCAAAUAAAUAAUAACUUACUUGCACUAACAUUCUCAAUUAAGAUAUUAAUGGAUGGGGUUGUGCUACAUAAGGCAGUCAUCCUUGAGAUAGAGCCAUGAGCAGGAUGAAACAAGAUAUUUGUACUUUGUGCUUUGGGCCCCAGGUUCAGGAGGGGGAUAGGCAGUGUGCUGUCUGAAUAAGGGUCUUGACCCGAAUCGUCACCCAUUCCUUCUCUCCGGAGGUGCUGCCUGUCCUGCUGAGUUACUCCAGCUUUUUGUGUCUAUUUUCUGUUUAAACCAGCAUCUGCAGUUCCUUCUUCCACUUGACAUCUGAUCGAUCCCCUUGACUUCCACAUUGCAGUACACAGAUGCACGCUUCUGGAACAAGUUGACCAAGCACUGCAGCUAACCAUCAGUUCUCUACAAAAGCACUGACUGGUGAACAGCAUAAUCCCACUUGGUGUUAUGUGAGGAUCUCAAUUAGAUUACUGUCUCAUCAAUCAUUUAUAAAUAAACUUACAACAUGGAACAAAUACCAUAAAAUGCAGGGAAGGGCAUAGAAUAAGGUCAGAUAACACCAGCACAAUGGGCAACCCGGACAUUGAACAGGUUCCGUGUGUACAGACAUCAAUUACAUCCAUAAAUUGGAAUAUGCACAAUAAUCACUGGAUAUGGUAACCAUACCACCACAUAAGAUUGAUAAGAUAAAACAAUUACUAAAAGGGGAAGGAGAAGGGAGAGACGUUCUGCCAUUCGUAGGAACAAACAUAUGUACUUCUGACUAUUGAAUUUAAUAUUAUGGGAGCUCACUUGUGUCCAUAGGUUAGGUAUUCUUACCCAGAGAAAGCCUGUACUGUAAUUUUUUGAUUAGCCCAUUAUUCUCCAAACAGCAGCACUUGUCAUUCAAUACUUGUGGAGAAUCUCGUUGGAUUCUUUUGUUAGCUACAUCGAAACUUCAAAAUUGUCUAGGUGGGAUAAUUUCAACUGUUUCUAUAUGUUUAUUCCCACAAUUUGCCUGUAUUAGGUAGUGUAGCUAGGAUAAAGUUCACUUGUGCUGCUCAGAAAAUUGAUUCAGGCUACAACAAGCAGGAAUGCGCAGCGACAGUGUCCUCAGGUGGCCCAAAUGAAAAUGGCAAUCUUUGCAGAGAUUCAGCAGUACUUCUCAGUUUUCCAUUGUUAUUUUGCGAAGUUAAGGUAAACUUGAUAAAAAAUAUUUUUAUUUAAAAAAA